rnacentral:rRNA from 1 species
AAGUCGUAACAAGGUUUCCGUAGGUGAACCUGCGGAAGGAUCAUUAAAGAAUUGCCCCAUUUUUUGAAAUGGGUUCUAUUCCCAAACCGUGUAUACAUACCUUUGUUGCUUUGGCAAGCCGUCCUUCGGGCGCAGCUUCGGCUGAGAGCGCUUGCCAGAGGACCCCAACUCUUUUGUUUAGUGAUGUCUGAGUACUAUAUAAUAUUUAAAACUUUCAACAACGGAUCUCUUGGUUCUGGCAUCGAUGAAGAACGCAGCGAAAUGCGAUAAGUAAUGUGAAUUGCAGAAUUCAGUGAAUCAUCGAAUCUUUGAACGCACAUUGCGCCCCUUGGUAUUCCGAGGGGCAUGCCUGUUCGAGCGUCAUUAUAACCACUCAAGCCUGGCUUGGUAUUGGGGUUUUCGCGUGUUCGCGGCCCUUAAAAUCAGUGGCGGUGCCGUCUGGCUCUAAGCGUAGUAAUUUCUCUCGCUAUAGGGUUCCGGUGGUUACUUGCCAAAACCCCCCAUUUUUUCUAGGUUGACCUCGGAUCAGGUAGGGAUACCCGCUGAACUUAA